rnacentral:lncRNA from 12 species
AACAUAAUAGGAUAUACGUUAUGGCAACAUUCAAACUGUUCAUCAAUUAUCCAUUACAUCUGCCAUCUCCCUUCUGCCAAUCGAGGUAACUAUGUUAUUACAAAAAAAAAAUCUUAUUUUAAUUAUAAUCCAAUCAGAAGAUGCAUCCAUUAUGUAGAGUGCUUUGGCAUGUUCUAAGGAUUUAAUUUUUACCCAAAUAGCAGAGCAAAUGCUGCAGAGACAAAAGGGUUUGUUCAUGUCUUCAUGAAUUCAGUCAUUAAAAAAAAUAGAGUGCACGCUAUGUGGAGGCAUGGUGUUCAGUGGGGGACACAAGUUAUACAGACCAUGGCUCCAGCUCUCAUGAAACUCAUCCUAAAAGGGGAGAACAACGUGGACAGAUGCCAGUGUGGCCAUGUGUUGCUAGGAGGGCUCUGACUGGGGGGACCAGGGAGAUAUCUUGGAGGAGGUGAAAUUGCACUAAGUAUGGAAAGCGUGGGUAGGAUUUUGAUGUGUCACCAUGGAUGAGAAAGGAGAGGCAGGGAGAUUAUUUCAAACAGAGACUGGCGUGAUUCUGUGGUGCAGGGAGGUAAAACCACAUGUUGAAAAUAUGCACAAGGAUACAUCUUUUUCACAGCUUUCCAAACUCUGGGAGGAUUCCAGAUGAAGGAGACAAGGUUCUUGAUGAUCAGAAUCCUCUAAUCCCGCCAAGGAAACUACCAAGCAUGGCUAUCCAGGAUGGAGGUAGAGGUGCCUUGAGGAUUGAGGUAGAACUGUGCAUUUUCUUUCUUCUGGCUCUACUUGGAAAGUUGGUCAGCGUCUUUGCCGAUAUCUUGUAUUUGAGGCUUUGUACCACAGGUCGUGAUUGAUUUACCACAUGUGAGUAUUUGCAUUUCCUAUUCAUCCUUUGAUGUUUCUUUGUUUUUCUUUGUAGCUGGGUUUGCUCUAAUGCAAGUAGGAUUAACAUCUUCAAACACUUAUAUCUAAAUCUCCUGAGGUUCUCCUGAUCCUUUACUGGAAACUUUCUUCACUGAGGUACACUUGCCUUUAUGCACACAGAUUUGUUAGAUGAAGAAAGGUGUUGAGUAAUAUGGAGACUCUCAUUCUUGACCUUGGCUAUGUUUGUCAUUAGAUAUCCUCAGAAAAGAUAAACAUCUAUUUAGCCGCCCUAAGGUGACAUUUGUGUUUCCCUGUCUUAUAAUAGUUGACACUGAAAUAAAUUCUGUGAGCCAUUCA